CUUUCUUGAUGCCGUUACGUGCAUGGAUUUUUUCCCAGGAUUAAAUUUGGAAGGCUAUCCUAACAGAGACAGUACAAAAUAUGCUGAGAUUUAUGGCAUUUCUUCUGCUCACACUUUGUUGCGGGGGACACUGAGAUAUAAGGGAUUGGAAUGCUGAAUAAUGGAUUGGAAUGUUGAAUAAUGUUGAAUACCUUCCUAUGGUAUCCUCCCUAACUCCUUCCCCUUGAACCACCCAGCCCCAUCUAUGGAUAUAUGAAAGCUUUGAAUGGAUUUGUAAAAUUAGGUCUAAUAAACAGAGAAGCACUUCCUGCCUUUAGACCUGAGGGCAACCCUCUCACCUGGAAACAACUCCUCUGUGACCUAGUUGGGAUUUCACCUUCCUCUGAGCACGAUGUGUUGAAGGAAGCUGUUCUUAAGAAACUAGGAGGAGACAAUGCCCAGUUGGAGGCUGCUGAAUGGUAGGCACCCACCACUCAACUUAGAGCAAAAUAUACUGGCUCAAUGAUUGCUAAUUUCUACUCAAAAAAAGUUAAAUAUUUUACAUUUGUCUUUGAUUAAUUUGUUGCUCUAAUGUGGGUAGAGAGAUUACCAUGUGCCAUGUUCAUGUAGGCAUAAAGAGUAGAUAAAGAGAGGAGCUCAAUGGCAAUUAUAAUUUGAGAAAUGCUUAUCUGGAAACACUUUACCACUCAGUUCCCAAGCAUAGUGGGGUAUUUUUGCUUUCCUGUAGGAGAUUCUGAGUAGUCAGAGAAUAUUACAUUAAAACAUUCUUUCAUAUGACUGCUGUGGCAUCCUGCUGGUAUACUUAAUGUUGGAGAACUAACCUAUAAACUAGUCUCAUAAAGAGUUUUGUAAGGACAUGGGAUUACCAUCCAUCAUCUCUGCCCUGCUCCAGGGAGCAGUGCCUGGGUGAGUCUGGAGAUGAUUCUGAAGGUUAAAACAUUGCUAUUGUUAUUGUUAUUUUACACUUUAGGAGAAUCCUACAACUUGAGUUACCAUCUUGUAAUUCUGCCCCUUCAAGAUUAAAUUCAAGGGGCUCCCUUUUGCUUCCCAAAUGAGAACAUGUAUAGGACUUGAACUAAUGCAGCCAUCUCCUGUGCUUUUCAGGUUGGGCUUACUUGGAGAUGAACAAGUCCCUCAGGCAGAAUCCAUUCUGGAUGCCCUCUCCAAGCAUUUGGUCAUGAAGCUUUCCUAUGGUCCUGAAGAAAAAGAUAUGAUUGUGAUGAGAGACAGCUUUGGAAUCAGACAUCCUUCUGGACAUUUAGAACAUAAAACGAUUGAUCUUGUGGCAUAUGGGGACAUCAAUGGCUUUUCAGCCAUGGCUAAAACCGUGGGGUUACCCACCGCCAUGGCAGCCAAAAUGUUGCUUGAUGGUGAAAUUGGAGCCAAAGGCCUAAUGGGGCCCUUUUCAAAGGAGAUCUAUGGACCAAUAUUGGAGCGAAUUAAAGCAGAAGGCAUUAUAUAUACUACACGGAGUACAAUUAAACCAUAAUUGAGAAUUAUAUUUUGUUUUUUUCUUCCCAGGCAAUACACCUCUGAACAUGUGUGUGAUAAGUGGGUUUGCUAAUGUGCUGUUUUAAAGUAUAAAGCAUAAUAUGUUUUGGUUAACACAAUGUACUUUUUGAACUAUAUAUCUUUAUUUUAAUGUGGAAAUGUUUGGAACAGGAGAUGCCAGCCACUAACAGAGAACUUUAAUAAUUCUACCCUGUAUUUUAUAAAUAUGUAUGUGAAAGUGAUGAUCGUGCUAUUUGUUAAUUUAUUGUGCCACUUUUUUCUUAAAUGAACGUAUUGUCUUAUAACCAGCAGAUGAAGUUUUACUUUUUUAGUCAGAAAAAAUUUCCUCAUAAAGCUAUAUUUUUAUAUUUUUAAAAUUGAUACAGUUAGGUACCUUUAGAUUACCUAUCUGUAAGUUUUUGCCAAAAUGCUGUUUUAUGCCCUUUUUGUAAAGUUAUGAUUUAUUUUGUAAAUGUAAUUCCUUAUAGUUUUCUCUUGAGUGUUUGGAAAUGAGAAUAGAUAAGAUUAAAUUACAAUUUACAAGAUCACUUCAUUAGGCACAGGAAAAGUAUUUAACAAAACUCAACACCCUUUUAC
rnacentral:sRNA from 1 species